ensembl:misc_RNA Metazoa_SRP Metazoan signal recognition particle RNA
GCUGGGCGUGGUGGCGUGUGCCUGUAGUCCCAACUACUUGGGAGGCUGAGGUAGGAGAAUUGCUUGAACCUGGGAGGUGGAGGCUGCAGUGAGCCAAGAUCAUGACACUGCACUCCAGCCUAGGUGACAGAGCGAGACUCUGUCUCCA